GNUUNAUUCGAUGAUACGCGAGGNACCUUACCAGGGCUUGAAAGUUAGUGAAGAANGNGGAAACAUGUUCGUCAGCAAUGACACGAAACUAGGNGCNGNAUGGCUGUCGUCAGCUCGUGCCGUGAGGUGUUGGGUUAAGUCCCGCAACGAGCGCAACCCCCAUCUUUAGUUGCUAGCAGGUAAUGCUGAGGACUCUAAAGAAACUGCCUACGCAAGUAGCGAGGAAGGCGGGGACGACGUCAAGUCAUCACGGCCCUUACGUCCUGGGCCACACACGUGCUACAAUGGUAGGUACAGAGGGCAGCUACCGGGUGACCGGAUGCGAAUCUCUAAAGCCUAUCUCAGUUCGGAUUGGAGUCUGCAACUCGACUCUAUGAAGCUGGAAUCGCUAGUAAUCGCGCAUCAGCCAUGGCGCGGUGAAUACGNUUCCCGGGCCUUGUACACACCNNNNCNNUCAAACAAUGGAAGCUGGGGGUGCCUGAAGUCGGUAACCGCAAGG
rnacentral:rRNA from 1 species